GUGGCUCUUAGGCAUAUGGCUACUCAGGGCCGGCUUUAGACCGAUUCACCCAAUUCCCAUGAAUCGAGCCCCACACCUACGAGGGCCCCGCAAGCAGGAGAUGGCAGCAUCUGACAAGGUUUGCCCCGUCAACAUGGAACAGCAUCGCUGAGAUGAACCAGCUGGCUGAGCUGUUUCAAAGUGGCAGGGCUGGCGCCAGCUUUUUUGCCACCUGAAGCUGUGAAGGGGAAAAAAACCCACCCCA